GGGUCAGUAGGUUGGUCGUGCCACCGGUACGUACUGGUCUCACUGAUUCCUCCUUCCUGAAGAACCGUAAUGCCAUUAAUUUGGUGUUGCGGGGAAGCAGGACUGUUACUUUGAAAAAAUUAGAGUGUUUAAAGCAAGCUAACGCUUGAAUACAUUAGCAUGGAAUAAUGAAAUAGGACGAUCAAUCCUAUUUUGUUGGUUUCUAGGAUUGACGUA
rnacentral:rRNA from 1 species